GUCAAUUCUCACUAUAUACAGAUUUUGAAAGGGAUUAAUGAUUGGAGAAGGUUUAUGAUGAUUGGUUUUUGUUAAAUAAAGUUAGUGGAAUGCUGAUGUGUGAACAAUAAUAAUAAGUCGUUAUAUAGAUUAACAAUUAUGGAUUCUCUAAAAAUCUUUUAACACAAAUAACAAUCUGUCUACUUCUAUAAUGAAUAAUGAAUUCACGAUCUCCUUGCAGCUCUUUCCUCUACAAACUAAUCCUGUAUUUGAUGAUCAUGCAAAUCCUAUGGUGAAUCCUGGGGAUUUUAGUCCUAUUGGAUUUGGAGGUCCAAGAGCAACUAAUGUUGAAUCAAAUCAAGCAAAUGUUGGUCUUCCAGAGGUUCAAACAGUAUGCUACUAUCAUUGAGGAUACACAAGGUGAUGGAAAUGAUGUUUCCAGUAGCACGAGAAUGAAAUCUUUAGGUGAAACAGAAGGUGCUUCGUCAUCUAGUGGGACGACUGGUACCCCUGGAAAUGCUUCUUCCAUUCCUGUUGGACUUGGCUCAAGAAAUUUACAACCUAAGUCUGAUCUUCGAGGCAACAACGUGGUACUAGUGGCACUUGCACAAUUAUCGGUGGCCAAUCGGAAUUGGAUCCAGCUACAAUAAUGAAUCAAGUUAUGUAAGAUCAUGCUUUAUCUAGUCUACUAUCAAGACUUUCAAAUCAAAAUGGGAAUGAUAAUCUCAAGAUUUCUUAAAAAAUCUAAUGAUUCAAGUAUCUCAAAACAGUGUAAUGAUGAACAUGAUUAAUCAACUUGCUCAACAGAUGGAUGGUAAUCAAGAUCUAACUGGCAUGUUUAGUGGGUCCAGUGGUGGCAAUCUUGAUAUAUGAAGUAUUGUUCAACAAAUGAACAAAUGUGUCUCUCAAGAUCUUAAUUGUGGGAGUGGGAGUGGGAUUGGGACUUCAACUUCAAAUUUUAUCCAAUCAACACCCUCCAAGAAAGCUGCUCUUCAUAGACGUUACAACAGUGUGAGAAAUUCCAAAGAUAAUGAAAAAUGAAGUGAUUUUAAGGUUUGUUCUGACCAACUUUAUUUAUUAUCCAUAAUAGCAAUGUAGUUUGAUUUUGCUACCAGUACGAGAAUAUACUUUAUCUUUGAUCCAUAAUAGCAACAUACUUACAUUUCUGUAUGAAUAAUAUCAAUGUACUUUGUUUUUACAUAAGACAACAAUGUACUUACAUGUUGCUAUAUAAGUAUGUUAUUAUGAGUAAUGAAAUAUGCGUACGUAUGUUACUUUAUUU